rnacentral:rRNA from 1 species
AUUCCAGCUCCAAUAGCGUAUAUUAAAGUUGCUGCAGUUAAAAAGCUCGUAGUUGAAUCUCGGGUGCAGGCUUGCGGUCCGUCUCGCGGCGGUCACUGCUCGUCCUGGCCUCCACGCCGGCGUACCGUCCCUUGGUGCUCUUGACUGAGUGUCUCGGGCGGCCGGAACGUUUACUUUGAAGAAAUUAGAGUGCUCAAAGCAGGCCUUGGCCGCCUGCAUAAUGGUGCAUGGAAUAAUGGAAUAGGACCUCGGUUCUAUUUUGUUGGUUUUCGGAGCUCGAGGUAAUGAUUAACAGGGACUGACGGGGGCAUUCGUAUUGCGGCGCUAGAGGUGAAAUUCUUAGACCGUCGCAAGACGAACUACAGCGAAAGCAUUUGCCAAGCAUGUUUUCAUCA